rnacentral:rRNA from 1 species
AUUGAACGCUGGCGGCAUGCCUUGCACAUGCAAGUCGAACGGCAGCACGGGAGCAAUCCUGGUGGCGAGUGGCGAACGGGUGAGUAAAGUAUCGGAACGUGCCCAGUCGUGGGGGAUAACGUAGCGAAAGUUACGCUAAUACCGCAUACGAUCUAUGGAUGAAAGCGGGGGAUCGCAAGACCUCGCGCGAUUGGAGCGGCCGAUAGCAGAUUAGGUAGUUGGUGGGGUAAAGGCGCACCAAGCCGACGAUCUGUAGCUGGUCUGAGAGGACGACGAGCCAGACUGGGAGUGAGACACGGCCCAGCCUCCUACGGGAGGCAGCGGUGGGGAAUUGUGGACAAUGGGCGAAAGCCUGAUCCAGCCAUGCCGCGUGCAGGAUGAAGGCCUUCGGGUUGUAAACUGCUUUUGUACGGAACGAAAAGGUUUGGGCUAAUAAGCUGAGCUCAUGACGGUACCGUAAGAAUAAGCACCGGCUAACUACGUGCCAGCCGCCGCCGUAA